ACUGAGGUGGAUCAAUGAUGAAA
rnacentral:piRNA from 1 species